CACAUCUGCCUCAGCGUCGG
rnacentral:rRNA from 1 species